UACUAGCGUAAGGGAAAGCAGUUCUUAUAUCGCCCUAUAUUGUGUAUUAAGUUGAACAGUGCACCAUGGCGACAUUCGUUAGUUUUGUUACUAAAAACUAUAAUGAUUUAUUUUUUAAGCGAAGAGACGAACGUAGCGUUCACCUUCCCUUGGCUGGUUCGCCUUUAUUCAUCAUAGGUAUUGUUUGUACAUAUUUAUGCAUCGUACUACAGUAUGGACCGCGGCACAUGUUAAAUCGAAAACCAUAUAAUGUUCUGAACAUGAUUAAGAUAUACAAUUUAUUUCAAAUGAUUGCUAAUAUUACGCUAUUUCUACACAUUUGUUAUAACGUAUUCCUAUUGUACGAUAAUUUUUCAUUCCGUUGUCAACCGAUCGACUACUCAAUAUCUAGAGUGGGGAUGGAUGAAGUGUACUUUAGCUACGCCUAUUUCUUACUCAAGCUGCUCGACUUAGCCGAUACGGUGUUUUUUGUCUUAAGAAAAAAACAGUCCCAUGUUUCAUUUUUACAUGUUUACCAUCAUUCAUUUAUGGUACUUACUACAUAUUGUGCUCUAGUAUUCGUUCCAGGAGGUCAUGUUUUGCUGCUAGGUCUUUGGAAUACACUAGUUCAUGCAAUAAUGUAUUUUUAUUAUUUUCUUUCAUCGCUAGGAGCACAAAACCAUAGCAUAUGGUGGAAAAAAUACCUAACUAGAUUGCAGUUAAUUCAGUUUAUUCACCUAGCAUUUCAUUUUGGACGUCCUUUACUCAGUGGCAAUUGUAAUUUUCCGAAAUUUUGGCUUUGGUAUGGCUUUUUACAAGCAAUUUUUGUACUUGGAUUAUUUUUGGACUUUUAUAUCAAGACUUACAAUAAAACAGAUAAAUCUAUAACUAGUCAGCAUCGCUGUGAAAAAAACGCAAAAUAGAAUAGAAAAAACUGCUAUGAAAAUAUCGUUGUUUAACCGAUGCAAUAGGCCUUAGACAAAAAGCUUCCUGAAUCACUAGCUAAAAGAUAGAUAAGUAUAAUAUAUUACCAAUGCCAUCAUCCAUAUCUUAAAUUCAGUAGAUAUUGCUCUCAAACUGUAUACAUUGUACGGAAGUAUAUACACAUACAGUCUUGGUAGACCUCCUUCAUACUGAAACAAUCUCUGGAACAAACCCUAAUCGUCUUUGCAUUUUAGUGCCUCUUUGACCGUGUCUUUUUUUGUGUAUGUUGCGUACUGCGAAUCUCGUAGCAUUUGGCAUAUGAAGUGUCAAACUAAUUUCUUAAUUUUUUUUUGAAAUGAGACAUAAUUUGUAAAAUAUUGUCCAUAAUCAUUGGUUUUAAGGAACAAAAUACAAUUUGAGUACAUUUUUAUUUUUUUAAUCACAAAACGGAUUUUCUUGCUAUGGGUAAUCAAUAAGUCUCUGAUAAGACUCGGAUAAGGUGGUAAAGGCAAAUCUAGACCGACAAUGGUUGUGAUGGGUAAAUUCAACAAAUAUAUUCCGCCAAAAUCAAAAGCAGUUCCGGAAAGUAGGUGCAAAACUCCAAACUAGGAACCGUCCGGAACCGCUAGUCGGCAAUCGGAGCCGUAGGAAUCGUCUGAGCCGUCCGAAGUCAGAAUAGUCGGAGUCGUCGGAGUCGUCCGGAACAGUCAGAAACGUCGGAAUAAUGGGAGCCGUCGGAGCCGUCCGGAGCCGGCUUCGCUUACCGAUUAGCUCCGGACCGAAAUCGUCGAAUUGAUAUAGCCGGGAACGGAGCCAGUGUAGCAAUUUUCGGAUUUUCAGUGUAGCCGUGGCUCCGAUUUCGCGAACCUAUCACUACUACAUUGCAUGUACAUUUUAUUCCAAGGUUGAGGAGAGAUUUGAACAAUUCCAUCAUAAUGGAGAUAUGAUUAAGUCUUUAUCUCAUUGACCAUACAAUGCGAACCGAUGUCGAUAUGUAUCAGUACCAGUUCAAAAUAAUACAAAUAAAAGCAAUGAUUCAGGCGGCGGUAAAGCUUCAACCGCACAAUCUUUCAUUUGGUGUUUUGAUACUACUGUAUCAGUGUUAAGUACUAUUUCACGUAUUGAACGAAGAACAGUGAUGGCUGCAGAACAAUUACACUUUGUUAUUUUAGGAGCUGGAAUAAACGGAUUGUCAUGUGCGGUUCGUUUGUCACAUGAAUAUCCUCGUUCAACAGUACAUAUAAUUAGUGAACAUUUUAGCCCCAAUACUACUAGCGACGUUGCGGCUGGACUAUGGGGACCGUACUGCCUAGAAGGAACGUCAGAAUAUGAAUGUAGGAGUUGGGCACAGGAAACGCACAACUAUUUCCUACAACUUUGGCGAGCUGGAUAUGCUGAUAAGUGCGGAAUUUGUUUGGUGCCUGUUAUAGAAUUAUUUCAUAGAGACACGACUUCUCCGUGGUGGCAAAAUAUUGUAUUCGGAUUUCAAGAAAUGUACCUAAGUUCUGAUGAUUUCAAUCUCGCUCAUCAAACGAAUUAUCGGAAUAGCAAAAGCGUUGCCUUUAUGUAUACAACGUUUACCUGCGAGCCUUCGAAGAUUAUGAAAUGUUACUGUGACAUUUUGUCUAAUCGAAAUGUAAAAUUUCAUCAAAAACGAUUGCAAAGUAUCAAUUGCCUGGAAAUGUUAAACAUACAGGCGAAUGCAAUCAUUGUCAAUUGUCUGGGAUUGAAUUCGCAACACGUUUUUAACGAUCUUGAAUUAUUUCCUGUACGUGGCCAGGUUCAAAAAGUAAAGGCGAGUUCCGUAUUUCAUUCGUUUGCCAAUGCAUCAUGUUACAUAAUUCCUAACACAGACACGGUGGUUCUGGGGGGAACUAAACAGAAAAUCGAAAGUCUACGUAUAGACCCUAAUGACCGUUACUCUAUUAGAGCGAAUUGUUUCGCAAUUCAACCUCACUUGAAAGACGCAACAAUUGUAAUGGAUUGUGUUGGAUUGCGACCAGCCAGGUCUUCUGGAGUACGUUUGGAACUAGAAAUUAUUAGUUUUGAUAAUGGUCAGAAUCAUGCAGUAAUACAUAACUAUGGGCAAGGCGGCGCAGGGAUCUCUCUUGCAUGGGGUUGUGCAGGAACCGUAACACGCUUGGUGCAACAAUACAUCGGCGAAACGUCGAUUACUCGACUGAAAUUAUAGUCAAUACAAAUUAUAGGAUACUGCUUACAUACAAAAAGAAGUUGAUAAUUUUGAUGAAACAAACAUAAUAUAUUUACGAAAUGUACUGAGAAAGUUCAUCAAAUAGCUUGAAUACUAUCCAAUAUUCAUUUUUUAAUGUGAAAUAAAAAAUUGAAAUAACUUAUUUUAGCAGCUGACACUACAGUAAAAUAGAUAAUGUUUAAAAACGAUCAAAUUGUAUAACAUCUUUCAUCAUGAAAUUU